CGGCAAAUUUCAACGCAAAAACUAUUACAUUUGCACCAAACUCAUACUCUCUUAGCAAAUUUCAAGUAUUUAGUACAUUUUUAGCAAUAGUUACCAUGCUCUUAACGGAGGAGGUCAGACUCCAAAUGAAGGGGAGACACAGAUUUCCUAAAGGAGACCUGAGGGCAUCCAUUCCCAGCACCACUGCAAGCCCUGAAUCUGGCCUUCUGUCCCACCAGUGUAAACUGAAAAGGGACAGCCUGUGUGUUGAGAGAUUGACGAGUUUCAGCGUCGUGAAGGAGGUAAACUCGAUGGUCAGGUCCUGAACUUUCUGCAUCAGUGCGGAGUUCCUGGCUCCUGAAACGCUGGCUCUCAAAAGGGAUGGAUCUCUGAGACCCAGACGCUGGCAGCCUCCUCCUAACAGCCGGAGAAGGAUAGCGUGUUUCCUGCAGUGGUCUGGGGCUGCAGAAGCUUGGACCUGGGUCCAACCCUCCUGGGAGGGCUCGGUCCCCCCCCUCCCCCCAGUGAACGCCUUGAACAGUUACACACCGGUUUCCAAUGAACCCCGCUCGGAUUCCACGACUUCAUCUCACGGAGGAGCCGGCUUGCUCUGGGACAGAUAAGGGCUCCCGGAGAAAGGGGCCGGUCACCACGGCCGCCCUAUCCGACUGCGUGAUCAACUAGUGCCCCAGUAAUAACCAUCCGGACCCUUGCCUCGGGGCGUCCUUGGCCGGCCGCGAGGGGGCGUGAAGUUAGGAGAGCCGCACGCGAGACCCCCACGGGAGAGAACCGCACCGGAAAGCCCUCUCGACUGUACCCCAGGCCCGGCCAGCGCAAGCCAGCAUGGGCCCAUUCAGAGCCUCCGUGGUCAGGCCGCAGGAGAGAGGACUGACGCAUGAAAUCGUGGUCUCAUCUGAGCGGAAUGGCCCCGACAACAGAAAGAAAACCGAGGCUCAACAAGGUGAAAGUCACACAGGUAGUGGCCCAGGCAGCACCUGGCGUCCAUCCUGGGUUGCAGGAAGCUAUGCAUCCACCCCGGUUGUCAAACAGGCCUGGCAGGAGCCGGAGGAGGGAAAAGCACUGCUGUUUGCUCCUCCAAAUGUAGGGGGUCUGCUGGGAAACUCAGAGCAGAUGGUAUGGGAGAGAGGACCAGAAAUCGCUGCCCUUUGAUGUCUCCCUAGCCAAGAAUGCAAGCCUCUCUCACCCCCAGCAUCCCCUUAAAGAAGCCCUGGCCUUUAGGAGAAGGUGGAGGGGAACAUGUCAGGAGCAUGAGGUGAGCAGUAGCUUAUGUUUGUACAACUUUAUUGUUCAGUCUUGAAGCCCAGUGAGAAGCCUUGGAGGGGAGCCUUGCUUUGAUAAUAGCAAUAUCAAAGACAGGGACUACCUUUAUUACAGCUCAUUCAUUACAUGCUAGACACUAAGCACUUUGCUGGGCUUAUCCUGAAUGACCAGUUAGGUUUAUCAUUGAGCAGUCUCAAGAGCCAAGAUAUAACUUUGCC
ensembl:lncRNA